rnacentral:rRNA from 1 species
UACGAAGGGGGCUAGCGUUGUUCGGAAUCACUGGGCGUAAAGCGGAUGCAGGCGGAUUGUUAAGUUAGAAGUGAAAGCCCAGGGCUCAACCCUGGAAUUGCUUUUAAAACUGGCAAUCUUGAGUCUGGAAGAGGAGUAUGGAAUUCCGAGUGUAAGGGUGAAAUCUGUAGAUAUUCGGAGGAACACCAGUGGCGAAGGCGAUACUCUGGUACAUGACUGACGCUGAGAUCCGAAAGCGUGGGGAGCAAACAGG